rnacentral:rRNA from 1 species
GAUGAACGCUAGCUACAGGCUUAACACAUGCAAGUCGAGGGGAAACGAUAUUGGAAGCUUGCUUCCGAUAGGCGUCGACCGGCGCACGGGUGAGUAACGCGUAUCCAACCUGCCCAUCACUUGGGGAUAACCUUGCGAAAGUAAGACUAAUACCCAAUGAUAUCUCUAGAAGACAUCUGAAAGAGAUUAAAGAUUUAUCGGUGAUGGAUGGGGAUGCGUCUGAUUAGCUUGUUGGCGGGGUAGCGGCCCACCAAGGCAACGAUCAGUAGGGGUUCUGAGAGGAAGGUCCCCCACAUUGGAACUGAGACACGGUCCAAACUCCUACGGGAGGCAGCAGUGAGGAAUAUUGGUCAAUGGACGAGAGUCUGAACCAGCCAAGUAGCGUGCAGGAAGACGGCCCUAUGGGUUGUAAACUGCUUUUAUAAGGGAAUAAAGUGAGUCUCGUGAGACUUUUUGCAUGUACCUUAUGAAUAAGGACCGGCUAAUUCCGUGCCAGCAGCCGCGGUAAUACGGAAGGUCCGGGCGUUAUCCGGAUUUAUUGGGUUUAAAGGGAGCGUAGGCCGGAGAUUAAGCGUGUUGUGAAAUGUAGACGCACAACGUCUGCACUGCAGCGCGAACUGGUUUCCUUGAGUACGCACAAAGUGGGCGGAAUUCGUGGUGUAGCGGUGAAAUGCUUAGAUAUCACGAAGAACUCCGAUUGCGAAGGCAGCUCACUGGAGCGCAACUGACGCUGAAGCUCGAAAGUGCGGGUAUCGAACAGGAUUAGAUACCCUGGUAGUCCGCACGGU